CUCCUAAAAUCAGUGCUAGUGUGACAGGUCUGAGCAGCAAAGUGUCCCCAUGACUUGCUUGUUUUUCCUGAACUACCAGGAGCUGUAGACAACCUGCAUUGAGAUUCCACACCAAAGAAAGGAAGGGUGGUCUUGCGCUUACGAGAAACCAGGUGGCAGGCCAGGUACGUGUGGAAGGCCUCACACGGUUGCCUUGAGAUACAGCUACCAGAGGCCUGUGGAGUCUCUCCCCACAAGCUACCUCUGGAUGGCUCAGUUCUCCUUUUUUGUUUAAUUCAAAUGAUGAGUUCCUUCCUCUCAGGUAAUUUUAUUUCAUUUGAUGUUAAAUGUCAUAUUUUAAUUCUUCUAUCAUCUGCCUGUGGUUGCUUAAUUUUUGCUUGAACUUUUAGUUCUACAUUAAUUGCAAUAAAUGCUUUAAAACCCUUACAUCAUUAUCGACUGAACUCUCUAUUUUCUUUUUUUCUUGAGAUGGAGUCUCGCUCUGUCACCCAGGCUGGAGUGCAGUGGUGUGAUCUCGGCUCACUGCAAGCUCCGCCUCCUGGGUUGACGCCACUCUCCUGCCUCAGCCUCCCAAGUAGCUGGGACUACAGGUGCCCACCACCACGCCUGGCUAAUUUUUUGUAUUUUUAGUAGAGACGGGGUUUCACUGUGUCAGCCAGGAUGGUCUCGAUCUCCUGACCUCGUGAUCUGCCCGUCUCGGCCUCCCAAACUGCUGGGAUUACAGGCGUGAGACACCGGGCCCAGCCUCUAUUUUCUUUAUAAACAUCUUCACCCAAGAGCUACCCUUGUUCCUCCCUUGCCACUUUCCUAAGUGUCCCUCCUUGUGCUGUUCCCUGUUUGUUUACACUGACUGAACAUUCUUCAGGGACCUUGGUUCUCAGUGUCUCACCCUCUAUCUGAUUGGAACAGACUAGACAUCACCUCUGUCCCAAAGCAGAGUAUUCCUGGCAAUUUCUACCUCACUGUCAUUCUCGUCAAUUUCCUUAGACAAACAACAACAUUUGUAGCACAACUCCAUGGACUGGUUCAUCCUGAGAAGAGAAGGGGAGCCACAACCUCACCCCACCUUCUCAGCUGCUCAAUCAGCCAUUGCUGUUUCCCAUCAACACAUACUUGCUGGGUGUCUACUGCAUUCAUGGUCCGGUACCAAAACCAGAUGAGUCACAGCCCCUGACCUCUGAGGGCUUAUUUAUGGUUAAAUGAGACAACCGAAGUAAAGAAAACACGUAGAGCUUAUUUUGAAGGCAAUGACAAAUAUCAGUGCAAUGUUUAAUACGUGGUUGUUAGUCUCACUAUAUAAUCAAGCAUCUGUCACUGUCUUUUGUAUCUGUGCAAAUAAAUAUGAAAAUUCAGACCAUUUAUAAUACCAGUGCCAGAGCAGCAAGUGAGGAAGAAACAAGGGCAUCUGUUCAUGUAUAAUCGUCUCUCCUGGGAAGGGGGUGUCCAACCCAAGAACUGCUCUGCAGGAUUUUUGCUCCAGUUCCCUGUGGAGAAAGAGCUGAGCUGGCUCAAGCCAUUGAGAACUGUGGAGCCAAGAAAUCAUCACAACAAGGAGGCACGUGGCACUGUGUGCUUGCAUCUGGCCAUCCCUGAAGACUCUGCCAGGCUGUGUGCUCUGUCUCUCAUGGCUCUUCUCUGUGCCGUCAUCUCAGCAAAGCACAUUCCAGAGCUGCAAUCUGACUCACAGGAAAGUGUGAUCUAGUGUGAUCACAGUGCUGCUCCAGAUUGCAGCUGCAGGAAUGGGGUGGGGGUACAGUGGGAAGAGUGGGGAGACUGUUCCAGGUCUCCAGCCUCUUUUAGGAACAAAAGUUUCCAGAGAAAGGAGGUCAGAAAUAGGGAGGAAAAAAUUCCAUGCCUUUUAUAUAGGGCCACCUUGAAAUCCUUCUUGAUCUUCAUGGAUGACAGGUGCUGGAAAAUCACCAUGGCCAGGUUAAGAUGCAAACUUAGAAUGGUGGUUACACAUACUAUGACUGGAUAUGAAUCUGGAAAAUUACUCUUGCUGUUUUCAUUCUAUUACCAAAACUUCAUAAUUGUCUGUACUCACAUCCCCAGGCUGUUGCCAUUCCAUUUCACUUUUCCCUCCAAGUCUAUCACUGGCUUAAUAUAUAGGAAAAAAGAGCAUGAACACUUUCACAGCAGUUUUCAUAUUAUCCAUAAGUUCACCAAGAAAGUUAUUCAAUGUGUAUAGCUAUAAAUGAGAACAUGGGUCAAAUGAUACAAGUUGGUAUUAUCAAGUGUUUAAAGAGCAUGUAUAUAUUACUUUCGUAUUAUUUACACCUCUAACUCUUACUCUGAAACUUUUACUUUUUCAAUCAGAUAGCUGUAACUAAACACUAGAUCAAUAAAAUGAUAAAAGCUAAAAGAGACAAAGGGUGGAGAAAUGGAUCCAUUUUCUGCCACCUACAAGGCAAGAAAUGCUAUGCACACAAAGACAUAAUGGUGCAAACUGUAACAAAUGCCAACAAUAAGAUAUACAUUUAAAUAAAAUAUAAAGACUACUACUAGUACUAAACAUAAUCUUUAACCACAAGGAGGGUCCAACCCACAAUGUUGGACCAUACACACAAAUUAACUCAAAAUGGAUCACAGACCAAAAUAUAAGGGCAAAAGCUAUAAAAUUCUUAGAAGAAAACACAGAAGUAUGUUCGCAUAACCUUGGAUUCACCAAUGGUUUCUUAGCUAUGACCCUGAAAACACAAGCGAUAAUAAUAACAAAAAUGACAAAUUGGACAUCAUUAAAAUGAUAAAUCUUUGUGUUUCAAAGGACACUAUCAAAAAAGUGAAAAACUCCACAGAAUGGGAAAAAAUAUUUGCAAAUGAAAAGAACUUAUACAGAGAACUCUUACAAUUCAACAAGAAAAAAUAACCCAACUUUAAAAAUACGCAAAGGACUUGAAAGACAUUUCUCUAAAGAAGAUAUACAAAUGGCCAAUAGCCUAUGAAAAGAUGCUCAGCCAGGUGCGGUGGCUCACGCCUGUAAUCCCAGCACUUUGGGAAGCCGAGGCAGGCAGAUGAUGAGGUCAAGAGAUAGAGACCAUCCAGGCCAACAUGGUGAAACCCUGUCUCUACUAAAAAUACAAAAAAUUAGCUGGGCGUGGUAGCGCGCACGUGUAGUCCCAGCUACUUGGGAGACUGAGGCAGAAGAAUCGCUUGAACCCAGGAGGCUGAGGUCGCAGUGAGCUGAGAUCAUGCCACUGCACUCCGCCCUGGCGACAGAGCGAGACUCCAUCUCAGAAAAAAAAGAAAAGAUGCUCAACAUUGCUAGUCAUCAGGAAAUGCAAAUCAAAGCCACAAUGAGAUACCCACUUCAGACACAUGUGGAUGGCUACAAUAAAAAAGACAACAAUAACAAAUUUUGGAGUAGAUGUGGAGAAAGUGGAACCCUGGUAUAUUUUACAUUGCUGAUGGGAAUGUAAAGUCGUGUAGCCACUUUGGAAAAUAUUGUGGCAGUCCCUCAGAAAAUCAAACAUAGAGUUACCUUAUGACUCAGCAAUUCCAUGCCUAGGUAUAUAUUCAGGAGAAAUGAAAAUACAUCCACACAAAAAACUUGUAUGCAGAUAUUCAUAGUAGCACUAUUCAUGUUAAUCAUAAAGUGGAAACAACUCAGGUGUGCAUCAACUCAAAAGAGAAAUAAAACAUAGCAUAUUCACAGAUAAUGGAUUAUUAUUCAUCCAUAACAAGGAAUGAAGUACUGAAACAUGUCACAACAUGGAUAAACCUUAAAAAUAUUAUGCUAGGUAAAAGAAGCCAGUCACAAAAGAUUUGUGAUUUUAUAUAUAUGAAGUAUCCAGAAUAAGCAAAUCUGUAGAGACAAAAAGUAGAUGAGUGGUUGCCAGGGGCUGGGAAGAAUUGGGAAUUGGCAGUCAAUUGGUAUGGGGUUUCUUUUUGAGGUUGCAGAAAGUUCUAAUAUCGUAUUAUAGUUAUGAUUGCACAAGUCUGUAAUUACAAUAAACACAAUUGAAUUGUACACUUUAAAUAAAUGAAUUAUAUGGGAUGUGAAUUAUGUAUCAAUAAAGCUCUUUAAAAAUGUGA